rnacentral:rRNA from 1 species
CUUUUGUAUAAUGGGUCAGCGACUUAUAUUCUGUAGCAAGGUUAACCGAAUAGGGGAGCCGAAGGGAAACCGAGUCUUAACUGGGCGUUAAGUUGCAGGGUAUAGACCCGAAACCCGGUGAUCUAGCCAUGGGCAGGUUGAAGGUUGGGUAACACUAACUGGAGGACCGAACCGACUAAUGUUGAAAAAUUAGCGGAUGACUUGUGGCUGGGGGUGAAAGGCCAAUCAAACCGGGAGAUAGCUGGUUCUCCCCGAAAGCUAUUUAGGUAGCGCCUCGUGAAUUCAUCUCCGGGGGUAGAGCACUGUUUCGGCAAGGGGGUCAUCCCGACUUACCAACCCGAUGCAAACUGCGAAUACCGGAGAAUGUUAUCACGGGAGACACACGGCGGGUGCUAACGUCCGUCGUGAAGAGGGAAACAACCCAGACCGCCAGCUAAGGUCCCAAAGUCAUGGUUAAGUGGGAAACGAUGUGGGAAGGCCCAGACAGCCAGGAUGUUGGCUUAGAAGCAGCCAUCAUUUAAAGAAAGCGUAAUAGCUCACUGGUCGAGUCGGCCUGCGCGGAAGAUGUAACGGGGCUAAACCAUGCACCGAAGCUGCGGCAGCGACACUAUGUGUUGUUGGGUAGGGGAGCGUUCUGUAAGCCUGUGAAGGUGUGCUGUGAGGCAUGCUGGAGGUAUCAGAAGUGCGAAUGCUGACAUAAGUAACGAUAAAGCGGGUGAAAAGCCCGCUCGCCGGAAGACCAAGGGUUCCUGUCCAACGUUAAUCGGGGC